rnacentral:rRNA from 1 species
AGGGUGUAAACGCUGCAGACUUGGUGUUGGGAACCCUUCGGGGGUGGUCCAGUGCCGGAGAGAAGUUGUUAAGUCUGCUACUUGGGGAGGUACGUCCGCAAGGAUGAAACUUAAAGGAAUUGGCGGGGGAGGCACCGCAACGGGAGGAGCGUGCGGUUUAAUUGGACUCAACGCCGGGAAGCUCACCGGAUAAGACAGCGGAAUGAUUGCCGGGCUGAAGACUCUGCAUGACUAGCUGAGAGGUGGUGCAUGGCGUAGACGUCU